rnacentral:rRNA from 1 species
GUUCGAUCCUGGCUCAGAUUGAACGCUGGCGGGAUGCUUACACAUGCAAGUCGAACGGCGGCACGGACUUCGGUCUGGUGGCGAGUGGCGAACGGGUGAGUAAUGUAUCCGGAACGUGCCUAGUAGCGGGGGAUAACUACGCCCGAAAGCGUAAUAAUACCGCAUACGCCCUUCGGGAAAAGCGGGGGACCUUCGGGCCUCGCACUAUUAGAGCGGCCGAUAUCGGAUUAGCUAGUUGGUGGGGUAACGGCUCACCAAGGCGACGAUCCGUAGCUGGUUUUGAGAGGACGACCAGCCACACUGGGACUGAGACACGGCCCAGACUCCUACGGGAGGCAGCAGUGGGGAAUUUUUGGACAAUGGGGGAAACCUGAUCCAGCCAUCCCGCGUGUGCGAUGAAGGCCUUCGGGUUGUAAAGCACUUUUGGCAGAAGAAACGGCACGGGGAUAAUACCCAGCGCAACUGGCAAUACCUGCAGAAUAAGCACCGGCUAACUACGUGCCAGCAGCCGCGCGGUAAUACGUAGGGUGCAAAGCGUUAAUCCGGAACACUGGGCGUAAAGCGUGCGCAGGCGGUUCGGAAAGAAGAUGUGAAAUCCCAGAGGCUGUUUUGGAACUGCAUUUUUAACUACCGAGCUAGAGUGUGUCAGAGGGAGGUGGAAUUCCGCGUGGCAGUGAAAUGCGUAGAUAUGCGGAGGAACACCGAUGGCGAAGGCAGCCUCCUGGGAUAACACUGACGCUCAUGCACGAAAGCGUGGGGAGCAAACAGGAUUAGAUACCCUGGUAGUCCACGCCCUAAACGAUGUCAACUAGCUGUUGGGGCCUUCGGGCCUUGGUAGCGCAGCUAACGCGUGAAGUUGACCGCCUAGGAAAUACGGUCGCAAGAUUAAAACUCAAAGGAAUUGACGGGGACCCGCACAAGCGGUGGAUGAUGUGGAUUAAUUCGAUGCAACGCGAAAAACCUUACCUACCCUUGACAUGUCUGGAAUCCCGAAGAGAUUUGGGAGUGCUCAUAAGAGAACCGGAACACAGGUGCUGCAUGGCUGUCGUCAGCUCGUGUCGUGAGAUGUUGGGUUAAGUCCGCAACGAGCGCAACCCUUGUCAUUAGUUGCUACGAAAGGGCACUCUAAUGAGACUGCCGGUGACAAACCGGAGGAAGGUGGGGAUGACGUCAAGUCCUCAUGGCCCUUAUGGUGGGGCUUCACACGUCAUACAAUGGUCGGGACAGAGGGUCGCCAACCCGCGGUAAUCCCAGAAACCCGAUCGUAGUCCGGAUCAUGAUCUGCAACUCGACUGCGUGAGUCGGAAUCGCUAGUAAUCGCGGAUCAGCAUGUCGCGGUGAAUACGUUCCGGGUCUUGUACACACCGCCCGUCACACCAUGGGGGUGGGUUUUACCAGAAGUAGUUAGCCUAACCGUAAGGAGGGCGAUUACCACGGUAGGAUUCAUGACUGGGGUGAAGUCGUAACAAGGUAA